UACGGAGGGGGCAAGCGUUGUUCGGAAUUACUGGGCGUAAAGGGCGCGCAGGCGGCUGCUCAAGUCAGGUGUGAAAGGCCUGGGCUCAACCCGGGAAUUGCGCUUGAGACUGGGCUGGCUUGAGUGCGGGAGAGGAUGGUGGAAUUCCCAGUGUAGAGGUGAAAUUCGUAGAUAUUGGGAAGAACACCGGUGGCGAAGGCGGCCAUCUGGACCGCAACUGACGCUGAGGCGCGAAAGCGUGGGGAGCAAACAGG
rnacentral:rRNA from 1 species